GAUGAACGCUGGCGGCGUGCCUAAUACAUGCAAGUCGAGCGAACGGACGAGAAGCUUGCUUCUCUGAUGUUAGCGGCGGACGGGUGAGUAACACGUGGAUAACCUACCUAUAAGACUGGGAUAACUUCGGGAAACCGUAGCUAAUACCGGAUAAUAUUUUGAACCGCAUGGUUCAAAAGUGAAAGACGGUCUUGCUGUCACUUAUAGAUGGAUCCACGCUGCAUUAGCUAGUUGGUAAGGUAACGGCUUACCAAGGCAACGAUGCAUAGCCGACCUGAGAGGGUGAUCGGCCACACUGGAACUGAGACACGGUCCAGACUCCUACGGGAGGCAGCAGUAGGGAAUCUUCCGCAAUGGGCGAAAGCCUGACGGAGCAACGCCGCGUGAGUGAUGAAGGUCUUCGGAUCGUAAAACUCUGUUAUUAGGGAAGAACAGAUGUGUAAGUAACUGUGCACAUCUUGACGGUACCUAAUCAGAAAGCCACGGCUAACUACGUG
rnacentral:rRNA from 1 species